UACGAAGGGGGCUAGCGUUGUUCGGAAUCACUGGGCGUAAAGGGCGCGUAGGCGGCUUUAUAAGUCGGGGGUGAAAGCCUGUGGCUCAACCACAGAAUUGCCUUCGAUACUGUAGAGCUUGAGACCGGAAGAGGUAAGUGGAACUGCGAGUGUAGAGGUGAAAUUCGUAGAUAUUCGGAGGAACACCAGUGGCGAAGGCGGCUCACUGGUCCGGUACUGACGCUGAGGUGCGAAAGCGUGGGGAGCAAACAGG
rnacentral:rRNA from 1 species